UGGUUGCCCAAAGGCACAUAUAUACAUAGAGAUAAACAUGGGCUAUACAUAGAGGAAAACAAACCAUUUCAGUGAACACCAAGAUGUAUCCAAGCCUCAUUUUGUCCUUCUUAGAAGAAGAACGACCCUCUGUUUUGGCCAUUUUCCCUGAAAUAAUGCAGCAGCUACUCAUAUUAUUUCCAAGCUCGUGGUGACGUGAAAAAUAGGACGGCUGUCCGUGGAAACAACCUCAAGGAAUGGCAACAAGCACAAGAAAUCUUCAAGAGUUAGUUUCAAAGUUUAAUCUUAGUGUUGGAACCCCAAGAAAUUUUGGAGGAAACGGGAAUUGAGUUUGGAGAGGCGUAAGGAGCGAAUAAGGUAUGUAAAACUGUCCCUUUCCUUCUCAUGGCAUGUCCUAGGUGUACUAGGGUUGGAUUUGAGCCUCGGGGAGUAUUCUGUUCAUAGAAAUUCGAGUUUGAAAAUGUCCCUUUGUCAUUCAAUAGAAUUGAAUCCUAUAUGCAUGUUUUGUUGAAAGAAUUGCGUAACCUUUCAUAAAUUGUCUAGAAAGUUAGGGAAUUUCCCUAGGACCUCCAUGGGUGACUCUAUAGGCUUAAUAUACGUACUUUGAGCCCAUCGCUUCAGUUGACCCGAGGUGGGCCCACUAUGCCCGAUUUGUCCCCUAUUGUAUUAUUGUUUUAUCUUCGAGUAAUAUUAAAGGAAUGUUUUAACCAUUCUUCGAACUACUAAAUAAUAAUUGUUUUAAAUAUUCCCUUGAAUCUUAUAAACUAUUUUGGAACAUGGAAACGAUCCCAGAAAGAUGAUUUCUACGUAACUUGUUAUGACCUCCGAAACGCACUUACUAUGAUUAUGUCCGAUUUCAUCAUUACGAUUUGUCAUUCGAUAUGUCCUAUUGAGUCUCUGUGAAUGUAUUAUGUUUUAUAUUGCACUUAGUUUCUCACUACUCCACUCGUGGAUGCCUCAAUGCUGCUUUCACUGAGCCCGGGCCAGGAUAUGUUGUCAAGCGUAUUCCAUUGCAUUGUUCGCCGUGCCUCGAUGUGAGGGGGCAGGUAUAUAUGUACAUGGGUUGUGGAGUAUGCUGUGCCAUGUACACACAUUCUGAUAUGAUAUGAUCUGAUAUGGCCAUCUGAUAUGAUAUGUUAUGUUACGGGGUUAUCCCAUAUUCUGCUCCUUAUGUGUUGUGGCACCAGCGUCGGGGGGGGGGGGGGGGGGGUGGCCACGUUCUGUUUGCCGAGUCCCUUGGCAGGGGUCGGAUAUGAUAUGGUAUAUGUUUCUGUACACACUUCUCAUGUUUUGAAAAUAUGCAUUUGAUACUUCGGAUGUUACACUCACUUCUCUGUAAGUUCUGUUUCGGUUAUGAUCUUGUUCCGUAAUGGGACCAGGUAUGACAUAUGUUUUCAGCGAAUACUAUUUAUGCUAUAUGAUCAGCAUUUUGCUAAUCUGGAUAUUCAGUUCAUUUUCUGUAUCUUCUGCUUCGAUUAUGACUUUGUUUACUACGUUCCGUGCUUUACAUACUCAGUACAUAUUUCGUACUGACCCCCUUUCUUCGGGGGCUGCGUUUUCAUGCCGCGCAAGUACUGACGACAGGUUUGCUGACCCGCCUGCUUAGGACAUCUAUUCUGUCAUUUGGAGCGCUCUUUUAUCCAGAGCCCAUCUUUUGGUACAGUCUGCUGCUAUUGUAUAUAUGUACGCUAUUCAGGGGUACGACGGGGCCCUGUCCUGUCUUAUGAUUCUGGUAUGCUCUGUAGAGGUCUGUAGACAUACUUGUGUGGGUUCUGUAUAUGUUUUGGGUUAUUAUGAUCUAUGAUGGCCUUAUCGGCUUCCACGUGCUA